ACUGCUGCCGACCACCACCCGUCACCUGUUGCCGUCACCACUGUCCCUUCAAGUGGUGCACACUCCAUUUGGUAGAGAUUUCCCCAAAGUGAGAAUAGGAGGGAUUUUAUAAAAUGUGUGUGAGUGCGCGACAGUGUGUGAAUGCUCGUUGUGUUCGAUUCAAUUCAAAAAAAAAAAUCACAAGUGCAAAAAAUGCCAAAAUACGAAGCACUGAGGAAAGAAUUUGACGAAAUUUAAAACGUAAAUGGAAGUGGAAGUGCGG
rnacentral:ribozyme from 1 species